rnacentral:rRNA from 1 species
GUUAAGCGACUAAGCGUACACGGUGGAUGCCCUGGCAGUCAGAGGCGAUGAAGGACGUGCUAAUCUGCGAUAAGCGUCGGUGAGGUGAUAUGAACCGUUAUAACCGGCGAUUUCCGAAUGGGGAAACCCAGUGUGUUUCGACACACUAUCAUUAACUGAAUCCAUAGGUUAAUGAGGCGAACCGGGGGAACUGAAACAUCUAAGUACCCCGAGGAAAAGAAAUCAACCGAGAUUCCCCCAGUAGCGGCGAGCGAACGGGGAGGAGCCCAGAGCCUGAAUCAGUGUGUGUGUUAGUGGAAGCGUCUGGAAAGGCGUGCGAUACAGGGUGACAGCCCCGUACACAAAAAUGCACAUAUUGUGAGCUCGAUGAGUAGGGCGGGACACGUGGUAUCCUGUCUGAAUAUGGGGGGACCAUCCUCCAAGGCUAAAUACUCCUGACUGACCGAUAGUGAACCAGUACCGUGAGGGAAAGGCGAAAAGAACCCCGGCGAGGGGAGUGAAAAAGAACCUGAAACCGUGUACGUACAAGCAGUGGGAGCCUCUUAAUGGGGUGACUGCGUACCUUUUGUAUAAUGGGUCAGCGACUUAUAUUCUGUAGCAAGGUUAACCGAAUAGGGGAGCCGAAGGGAAACCGAGUCUUAACUGGGCGUUAAGUUGCAGGGUAUAGACCCGAAACCCGGUGAUCUAGCCAUGGGCAGGUUGAAGGUUGGGUAACACUAACUGGAGGACCGAACCGACUAAUGUUGAAAAAUUAGCGGAUGACUUGUGGCUGGGGGUGAAAGGCCAAUCAAACCGGGAGAUAGCUGGUUCUCCCCGAAAGCUAUUUAGGUAGCGCCUCGUGAAUUCAUCUCCGGGGGUAGAGCACUGUUUCGGCAAGGGGGUCAUCCCGACUUACCAACCCGAUGCAAACUGCGAAUACCGGAGAAUGUUAUCACGGGAGACAC